rnacentral:rRNA from 1 species
AGGGGUUUGGAUCAUGGGGCUCAGAUUGAACGCUGGCGGCAUGCCUAACACAUGCAAGUCGAACGGUAACAGGACGCUGGGAUCCCUUCGGGGUGACCUUGUCGCUGACGAGUGGCGGACGGGUGAGUAAUGCAUAGGAAAUUGCCUUGAAGUGGGGGAUAGCCCGGAGAAAUCCGGAUUAAUACCGCAUGCGCUCUACGGAGCAAAGCGGGCCUCUGAUUUAAGCUCGCGCUUUAAGAUAUGCCUAUGUCGGAUUAGCUAGUUGGUAGAGUAAAAGCCUACCAAGGCGACGAUCCGUAGCUGGUUUGAGAGGAUGAUCAGCCACACUGGGACUGAGAUACGGCCCAGACUCCUACGGGAGGCAGCAGUGGGGAAUAUUGGACAAUGGGCGCAAGCCUGAUCCAGCAAUGCCGCGUGUGUGAAGAAGGCCUGCGGGUUGUAAAGCACUUUUAUCGGGAAAGAAAAUCUCAGGGUUAAUACCCCUGGGCCUUGACGGUACCCGAAGAAUAAGCACCGGCUAACUCAGUGCCAGCAGCCGCGGUAAUACUGAGGGUGCAAGCGUUAAUCGGAAUUACUGGGCGUAAAGCGAGUGUAGGCGGCUGCGUAAGUCGGAUGUGAAAGCCCCGGGCUCAACCUGGGAAUUGCAUUCGAUACUGCACGGCUUGAGUCUGAUAGAGGGAAGUGGAAUUCCAGGUGUAGCGGUGAAUGCGUAGAUAUCUGGAGGAACACCAGUGGCGAAGCGGCUUCCUGGAUCAAGACUGACGCUG